rnacentral:rRNA from 1 species
CUGCUGCCUUCCGUAGGAGUUUGGGCCGUGUCUCAGUCCCAAUGUGGCCGAUCAACCUCUCAGUUCGGCUACGCAUCAUUGCCUUGGUAAGCCUUUACCCCACCAACUAGCUAAUGCGUCGCGGGCCCAUCCAAAAGCGGUAGCAUAGCCACCUUUUACAUAGUUACCAUGCGGUAACUAUGGUUAUGCGGUAUUAGCACCUGUUUCCAAGUGUUAUCCCCCUCUUUUGGGCAGGUUGCCCACGUGUUACUCACCCGUUCGCCG